rnacentral:tRNA from 1 species
ACAAGUAAAGUUUUUUGAAUGUUAAAUUGCAAAUUUAAAGGAAAUAAAGCUUGUU